CUCCCCAACAUAGUAGGAGAUGCAGCUGGGCUUCAGCAUGAACCAGCGCUCCGUCCAGUUCUUCCUCUUGUGACCCUUCUUCAUCAUGUAGCCCUGCAGAGAGAAAGGAGGAUAUGAAUGGAGUCCAAUACAGGAAACAACAACCUCCAGGCAGCAACCUAAGUUUUGCCAAGGAUUUGGAUUAUACGACUUGUGGCCGACCUGUUUGAGCACAUCCAAGAUGAGCUCCUGGUAGACCUCGCUGAUGCCCAUGGAGAGCGUCUGGCGGUCCAUGCCCUUGCUGAAGUGACCCGAUCCCACCAGG